rnacentral:misc_RNA from 1 species
GAGAAAUUGCCCCUUGGGGUACAUCUCCCACCCUGAUUAUUUUACCUCGUUGCUUUGGUGGGCGAAAGCCUUGGCUACAGCCUGCCAGAGUGUAUAUACUCUUGUACAAUUUUUGUCUGAGAAUAAACAAAAUAUUUAAAACUUUCAACAACGGAUCUCUUGGUUCU